GAUGAAUGCCAGGCUGGGAAAACCUUCAGGAGCCUGGCAGUGCCCAGGAGUGCCUGGGUGUUACGAGAUUGGACAGAGAUCUUGUACCCCAGAUUUGCAGAUUAGCAGAAGUCUCAUGAUCUGCCUCUUUCCUGGUAUGCUGGAGACACUGCUAAAAAUAGAUUUAGAUGGCAAGAGAGGAAGAUGUACCCCUGUGGCCUGGAACUGUCCUGAUAGGUAGAGGAUGCAGCCAGAAAUGCCCUGACCUUGAAGGGGAACACAAAGACACCCACUGUGCAGAUCAUGAUCUGGGAUUUCUAACAGCCAAAGGACAUGACAAGCUCUUGUAGUGAUGCCAGUGACCAACUGAGUCUUCUUGUGCAUCUGCUAUGUUCCUAUUUCUCUUGUGGUGGAAGACAGCAGAAAACCCUGGUCUGGGUGGGACAGAUGAGACCUAAAGCAUGAAGUCCUGUCCUGUUAGCACCUGUGGCCUGAAUUAGUGCCACAGUCACUUCUCACCUCCCUGCACCUUUCUCAGGGUUGGAUGCAAUUAAACAUCAAAUUUUA